rnacentral:lncRNA from 1 species
ACCGUCGCGAACAGACAAUAAAUCUGAAACGGUUACAGCAACUAGUCGGCCGACGUCGAUAGCAGGUGGAGCGGCGGUUGUGAGCGGCGAGCGUGGCGGUUACUGGUUCACGCGGCGGCCUUGGCUUCGACGGAGACAGAAUCGGCGAUGGAGACGGCAGAUCGGCGCGCGGGACGACUGCUGCAAGGUUGCUUUGCGAACCGGAGAUGGAGACGGCAGAUCGGCGCGCAGGCUGCGGCGGGAAGAAAAUGGAAGAGAAAGGAUCGGCGGCUGACUGCGGCUGGGCUGCGGCGGGAAGAAAACAGAAGGGAAAGGAUCGGCGGCGGAAAAAGAAUCGAAUUUCUACCCUAAUUGCCACAAUUAACAUGUAACCAUAAACUAAUCAAAUUAGGGUUUUAAGAAUAUUACCUUUGAAGCUUUCAAAAGUUUGAUAUCUUCUUACAAUUCAAACCGAGACACCACUAGUACUCAACUGCUAUCCUCUAGACAAAGAACCGGUUGUGGACCCAAUUUUGUGUAGAAAGUAAUGGAGAUAAAAUGGUUAGAAGCUUUCUUUUUUCUUUUGUUGAGAUGAUGAAAAUGAUAAAAGAGGCAAAAGUCCUUCAACAUUUGAAAACACUCUAUUUAUAGCCUAAUUACAUGCAAAAAUGCAUGCAAUUCAAUUGCCAAAUCUCAACACCUAAUAUUCCACUAACAAUUAGUGGAACUUAGUGGGCUAGGUGUCUAUAUCUCAUAUAGCCACAUAUCCCACUAAGAGUUAGUGGGAUUAUCCAACAAAAUGUUGGAUUUUCCCACUAACUUAGUCCAAGGGUAAAAUGGUCAUUAGAUUUUUCUAGUCAAAAGUCAAAUUGACUUUUCUGUCAAAAGUCAAAUUGACUUUUCUAAGUCAAAAGUCAAUAUUUUGACUUUUUACCAUUUUGUCCGUCUUGACUAAUUCCAACCUCCCGAGCAUGAAUCCGCAUUCAUUUUUCCAAAAUUCAAAUCACAUUUGAAUAUAAGGCCGGUCAAAGUUUGACUUUUCAAAGUCAAAAGUCAACAUUUUGACUUUUUACUAUUUUUGACCAAUUCCGAGCUUCUUAGUAUGAAUCCGCAUUCAUACUUAUAGUAUGUAAACAUAAAGCUCUAUUUCUAAUUAGAAGACCGACGACUAUAUCACUGUAUUGUCGGUUUCCUUUCUUCUCCCAAUUCGAACAAUUCGACUUAUUUCAUCACACUGUUCUAAGUUUAAUCCAUAUGAGCUAGCAGAGGAACCUAAUGGACCUAUAGAUCAUGGGCUCCAACGAUUCAAGAUUAACUAGCUAAACUCUUUUAAACCGAGUUAAUCAACAUUCGUUAACUAACGGGUCAUUCCACUAAAGUCCCGUAGUUGCACUCCCCUCACUAUAGAUAUAUUUGUGUCCAUUUGAUAAAACCAUAAUCAGUAAGUUAAUCCUUCACAGGUUGCUCGUAACCUUGGCUGGGUCAAAAUACCGUUUUACCCCCAAGAUUACAUCUUGCUCCUUAAGUCCCACUAAUCCACUAUUGAACAAUUGGUUUAAGGUUCAACCUAUAAACUUAAUCCCUCUCGGGCCAAUGAGAGGGUGGGGCCCCUUGUUCAAGACUUGGAUUCAGUGCUUAAGAGAGCAACCUAUCUACUAACCCUAAAGCGGUAGGAGUGAAUUCCAUCUUGUACCCUAUGUUCCCAGCUAUCCACCCGAUCUUACCCCUGAAAUGGGAGGCUUAUUGGGCCAACGCUGAUGAGCUGCCCUCACCUAUGCAGAUCUAAGGAUAAUCUCGUGUGAACAGGAGUUCAUAGUUAACUCAGGAUUAAGACUAAGUUACCUAGGUCAUCAAUAAUUGAGAUAGUCAGUUUUAAACAGUAAACGGUGUUAUAACGUAAAAAUGACUAUUCAUGGUUCAGUCUUAUGUAAACAUUUUACAUAGGAUGCCCCCACUUUCAUGUCUCUACAUGAACGAUUAGGAUCACCUCGUUUGUACUACAAAGUGGGCCGCAUCCAUAGUUUCUCUAAAUAAGGCGCCCAACCUUUAUUUCAUAUACUAUAGACUAUUUAGGCUAUAUACUCGAACUUGAUCCACGUUUAUGUUUACACAUAAAGUUCAAGUUUAUUAAAAAAUAGCCUUGGAACUUGAUUUAUUGGAUUUAAGAUUAUAAUAUUUAAUUUCUCAAUAACAACUUUAUUGAACAGAAUAUGAUUUACAAACUACGAGUUUUAGGACAAAAAUUCCAACAAACUCCCACUUGGACUAAAAUUCCUAGUGGUAUGAGAGAUGUGGUGUGAGAGAAUAUAAAACUAGGGCACAUGGCCAAUAAGUCUCCCACUUGUCCUAGUUUACAAACAUCGUAGACCUAAACUGUGUAGGUGACCCUCAAACACUUUAGCCGUGAGAGCUUUUGUAAAAGGAUCAGCAAUGUUUUGCUGAGAAGAAAUCUGGGUUACUACAACGUCACCACGAUGUACAAUUUCCCUGAUAAGAUGGUACUUGCGUUCAAUAUGCUUUCCUCUUUUAUGGCUUCUAGGUUCUCUUGAAUUUGCAACUGCACCACUGUUGUCACAGUAUAAAGUGAUUGGUAGAUGCAUAUUUGGAACGACUUCCAAAUCUGUCAAGAAUUUUCUUAGCCAUACUGCUUCUUUUGCUGCUUCACAAGCCGCUACGUAUUCAGCUUCCAUUGUGGAAUCAGCUAUACAAGUUUGCUUUAUGCUUCUCCAAACUACUGCUCCUCCAUUUAGAGUAAAUACUGAUCCUGAUGUAGACUUUCUAGCAUCUUUAUCAGUUUGGAAAUCUGAAUCAGUGUAUCCAGUAAGGAUCAGAUCCUUUGUACCAUACAUGAGCAUGUAGUCUUUUGUUCUUCGAAGAUAUUUUAGAAUGUUUUUAACGGCUGUCCAGUGAUCACGUCCAGGAUUGGAUUGAUACCUACUGACCAUCCCUACUGAGUAGCAAAUGUCAGGUCUAGUACAUAACAUUGCAUACAUUAAACUUCCAACAGCGGAAGCAUAGGGAAUAUUUCUCAUAUCCUCAACUUCUUGAGGUGUCUUAGGACAUUGUUCCUUUGACAAAUGAAUUCCAUAUCUGUACGGCAGCAGACCCUUUUUGGAAUUCUGCAUUUUAUAUCUAGACAACAUUUUGUCUAUGUAAGAUGCUUGAGACAUGGCUAGUGUUUUGUUCUUACGGUUUCGAACAAUUUGGAUUCCGAGAACGUAUUGUGCAUCUCCCAGAUCUUUCAUUUGAAAUUGCAUAGCUAGCCAUUUCUUGAUAUCAGUAAGAUAUCCUACGUCAUUUCCAAUAAGUAGAAUAUCAUCUACAUAUAAGACUAAAAAUGCUAUAAUGGAAUUGACGACCUUUUUGUAAACACAAGGCUCGUCAACAUUUUGUUCAAAGCCAUAAGAUUUGAUCGCAGUAUCAAAUCUUAUAUUCCAGGAUCUAGAAGCUUGUUUUAAUCCAUAAAUGGAUUUUUUAAGCUUACAAACCUUUUGUUCUUGAUCUUGUUCUAUAAACCCCUCUGGUUGAGACAUAUAGAUACUCUCUUCAAGAUUACCAUUCAAAAAAGCUGUCUUGACAUCCAUCUGCCAAAUUUCAUAAUCAUAAAAAGUGGCGAUGGAUAAGAGUAUUCUAAUUGACUUUAACAUGGCAACAGGAGAGAAAGUUUCCUCAUAGUCUACUCCCUCUCUCUGGGUAUAACCCUUUGCCACAAGUCGAGCCUUGAAAGUCUGUACUUUACCGGCAUGGUCUCGUUUUCUCUUGUAGAUCCAUUUACAACCAAUAGGUUUUACGUCAUUUGGUUGAUCUACUAGAGUCCAGACAGAAUUAAAGUACAUAGACUCCAUUUCGAGGUCCAUGGCUUUGAUCCAUUGGUCACGAUCUACAUCUUUCAUUGCCUGUUUAUAGGUUAAUGGAUCCUCUAUGCCAUCGUCAGGUAUGACGACUUGAGUUUCAAUUAAACCCAAAUAGCGAUCAGGCUGAUGAACAACCCUCCCACUACGUCGAGGCUCUCUCAACUGUUGAGAAGGAUGUGAUUGUCCAGAUUUCCUAGUCUUAUCAACUACCUUAGUGGAUGAACUAGGUUUAUCUAUAGCACUUUUGGAAAUUUCUUUUAAUACUAGUUUACUACGAGGUUGAUGAUCCCUGAUGUGGUCUUCCUCUAAGAAUGUGGCAUUUGUUGACACAAAUAUUUUAUUUUCUUGAGGAUCAUAAAACAAACCACCUCUUGAUUCUUUUGGAUAACCUAUAAAAAAGCAUAAUUUUGAACGAUGUUCCAAUUUCUUUGGAUUUUGUACCAACACGUGUGCUGGACAACCCCAAAUUCUAAAAUGACGUAAACUGCCUUUACGCCCUUUCCAUAGCUCAUAAGGUGUUUCUGAAACACUUUUAGAGGGAACAUUAUUCAAAAUAUAAGCAGCUGUUUCUAAAGCAUAUCCCCAAAAAGAAUCUGACAUCUGAGAAAAACUCAUCAUAGAGCGAACCAUGUCUAACAAGGUCCGGUUUCUUCUUUCUGAUACACCGUUCUGUUGAGGUGUACUAGGUGCAGAGAGUUGUGACUGGAUUCCAUUUUCUAUUAAAUAGUCUCGGAAUCGUAAGUCCAUAUACUCUCCACCUCGAUCUGAUCGAAGUAUUUUUAUUGUUUUACCUAAUUCGUUUUCUACUUCAGCCUUAUAUUCUUUGAACUUUUCAAGACUAUUAGACUUAUGAUGUAUUAGGUAAAUAUGACCAUACCUUGAAUAAUCAUCAAUGAAGCUAAUGAAAUAUUCAUAUCCACCUCGAGCUUUGACAUUCAUUGGUCCACAAAGGUCCGAAUGUACGAGCUCUAAGGGUCCUUUGGCUCUUAGACCUUUUCCAGUAAAAGAUCUCUUGGUCAUUUUUCCUUCAAGACAAGAUUCACAAGGAGGUAAAGAGUUAUCUUCUAACGGACUUAGAAGCCCACUUUUAACCAAUCUCCCAAUCCUAUUGAGAUUUAUGUGACCAAGUCUUAAGUGCCAUAAAUAGGCAUUAGAAGAAACUUUUUGUCUUUUAUUCUGAGUUUCAGCUGUUCUGAAUAUUUCAGUAUUUAAGACAAAAUUUGCUCUAGUUGGUCUUAACUUAUAUAAGUUGUCUUCAAGUAUAGCAGAACAAACUAGAAUACCUUUAUAGAAAACGAACGCUUCAUUAAUUUUCAAAAGAUAUUCUAUACAUUUGUUCCAAAAUACAAGAGAUAGAUAUUAAAUUUCUUUUCAUUUGAGGUACAUAUAAGACAUUCUUAAGUAUGACAUAUCUAUCUCUAAAAAACAACUUUAAAUCUCCCACUGCUGAAGCUGAGACCAUCUCUCCUGUUCCAACCUUGAGAGUGAUCUCGCCUUCUGAAAGCUUUUUCCAAGAACUAUUUUCCUGAAAUGAGAAGCAAAUAUGGUUAGUGGCUCCUGAAUCUAGUAUCCAGGUACAAUUUUCAUAUUCCACUAAACAUGUUUCUACAACUAGUAAAUCAUAUUUACCUUGUGUUUCCUUCUCUGCCUUUUUUUCUGCAAGGUAUUUUGGGCAGUUUCUUAACCAGUGCCCGUUUUGGCCACAAUGGUAACACUUACCUUUUUCUGCACCUUUCUUACCCUUGUUCUGUUUGGGAGUCUUUCCCUUUCCCUUCUUUUUUAUUUGAGCAUUAGGUUUUGAGGGUCCAGCUUUGGUUUUAGAGGACGAUCCUCUUAUAAAUUUUCUUUUUGUGGUAGCAACAUUUGCUUCCACUUGUUUUCCUUUACCCAUAGUAAGGUUUUGGAAUCGCUGGAGUUCAUUCAGAAGGGUUGUCAAGUUAAAUUCUAUCUUGUUCAAAGACGCAUUCGUUUGGAAUGGAAUGAAGCUCUUCGGAAGAGACUCUAAGAUAAAACUAACUUGAUUAACCUCUUCGAUGGGACCACCAUUCACUUCAGCGAUGUUGAAGUGCAUCAUCAUGUCCAGAACAUGUUCUCUAACAGAGGUCCCUUCCUUCAUACGCUUAGUGUAAAUGUAUUUGACUGCCUCGUGUCUUAAGGACCAUUCUGGUUGCCCAAACAUUCCCCUUAAUGAAUCCAUAAUCUCUUUAGCCGUGGCUAAGGAUUCAUGUUUCUUUGCCAAUACAUCAGACAUGCUGGCAAGAAUGUAGACACGGGCUUUUUCAUUAGCUUUUAUCCAUCGAUCAUAUGCAUCCCGACUAGUUCGGUUAGCAUUAGAGGCAGGGUUUUGAGGACAUUCCUCAGUUAAGACAAAUCUUAAAUCGUCAACCACUAGUAUUGUGUUAAGAUUUGAUUUCCAAGCCGCAUAAUUAUCGCCAUUAAGUUUUUCGGAAGCUAAAAGUUGAACUAUUGAGCUAUUCAUGCUGAAAAACAAACAUAUUCUUUUUAGGAAAAAACUAUAAUCAUAAAAAAUAUCCAAUCUAAUUUAGCAAUUACUAAUAAUGUACCCUUUCAUUAUUUGUAUUUUGCAACAAUAUUUCAAAGGUUUAGAACAACCUUCUCCGAAGGGUAGUUGAUUAUUCCUCCUUUGAACCAAGACAAUCUUGACUAGAUGCUAUCUCUAGAAUAACUGCUUAUUCUUUAUAGCACUUAGUUAUCGCUACUUUAGUCAAGAAUAUACUAACAACUUAGUAAUUCUUGUAAGUGUUACCCACCAUUUUCAGAUUUCAUAGAUUAGAAUCAUUUAUGAAAACUAAUCUAAGAAAACCUAUCCAGAUUUGGAGUUCGCGGUGUUCCGAAUCCUAUAAUACAACCCUCCGAAGGGAACGUCGCUCCAGGGCAGACAAGCAGGCAUAUUAUAGAAAUCUCACGGUGCGACCUAAUGGAAGAGACCGUGGGAUGUGCUGCCACAAAUCCCUCACCCACUUACUAUGAACUACUUCCCCUAUUCACCUUGAUUUUGAUCCAUGCAAACACUCUCCGAAGGGAGGCCGCUCCUAUGCACGGCACAAAGCCCUACAUGGACCUCACGGUGUGAACUCUUAGGGACACUAGAGCUAAAAUACAUUAUUUUUCUCUAGUUGAAGUGUUCUAAAGAAAAAAAAUAGGGUAAUCCAAGCUUCAAGAUUUAUAUUUAGGUUAACUUAAACAAAUCUUAAGUCUAGAUAAACAUCCAAGUAUAACCAUUAUACAGGAUUUUAACUAUGAUGUCUAGGUGAUAAACCAUUUUUAUUACCUCACACCUCUCACGAAAGCUCAUAAAACUAGGUUAACUAGGCUCAAGAACUGAUUACGAUCUCUAGGUAGGAGGUGCUCCGUAAACCGUCAACUUAAGAACCUCCAGCCUUAGUUAUCUUAUCUGACUUGUUGACAAGAUUGAAUCAGGUGAGCCUUUUAUAACCAAUUUUACAAGAUAUCGACCUAUUUCUAUGAAAAAUGGAAGAUAUGUUUAACCUAAGCGAGCAUGCAUUUAAUCUUUGUUAUUGAUUUUAAAAGUCUAAUUUAUUUUAUAACACUUAUAAAACUUUUAGACUUAAUCAAUCAUUUUAUCAAUAUAUAACCUUAUAAAAACAAUCAAUUAAUAUGGAUUUUAAUUAUUUACUUUAAAUUAAAUCAUAUUUAAUUAAAUAAAUCAAAACAAUAAUUAAUAAUUUGAUUAAUCAUAUUUAAUCAAGAAUAACUUAAUUAAUUAAUCAUAUUAAUUAAUUUCCAUAUUAAUCAAUUAACACGCAUACAAUACAAUAUAACCUUUAUAUCAUACAUUUUAAUGUAUGAACAUGUUAACCUAUGGUGGGAUUUUAAAUCUAAUAUGACAUUCAAAAUGCACAUACAAAUUUAAAGUAAUUUAAUCAUACAUCACAUGCAUAAAUAAAAACACCCUAAAAUGGACUGAUUUUGGCUCCUAAAUUAAGCUAAGUACUAAAUUAUUACAUAAUUAAUUUGGUGUAGUACGGAACCACUCCCAAAAACUUCGAACCGGCUGAAAAACCAACCGAAACCGCUUGAACCGACCCAAAAACCAAAUUUAUUGGCUUGAACCGGCCGAAUUAACUAAACAGGCCCAAGCGCACACGGGUCGGGCGCAGGCGGGUCGCGAAGCGGGUCAAGGCCGGGUUUUCGGGUCUGUGACCUUCUUUUCUUCAUUUUUUUCAAUUCUCUCACCCGGUUGAACCAAUUACAGCCUAACUUCAACUCUAAUGACUUUUUUUUAUUUUAAAAAAAUACAAACACUUUGCAACAAUAAAAAUAAGCCAUUAACAAGGCUAAAUACAAUAAUUAGAACAAAAACACUUAAUCUAGAGCCAAAAUCAUAAUAUAUCCAUUUUAGUUCAAACCAAAAUUUAUCUAAUAAAUAUGAACCCACCACAUGCAAUUGGGUAAAAAUGAAGCAUGCUCUGAUACCACAUGAUAGAACUCAGUCAUGCACAGCGGAAAAAGAAUCGAAUUUCUACCCUAAUUGCCACAAUUAACAUGUAACCAUAAAACUAAUCAAAUUAGGGUUUUAAGAAAUAUUACCUUUGAAGCUUUCAAAAGGUUUGAUAUCUUCUUACCAAUUCUAACCGAGACCACCACUAGUACUUCAACUGCUGUCCUCUAGACAAAGAACCGGGUUGUGGGACCCAAUUUUGGUGUAGAAAGUAAUGGAGAUAAAAUGGGAUUGGAAGGUUUCUUUUUUUUUUCCUUUUGUUGAGAUGAUGAAAAUGAUAAAAGAGGCAAAAGUUCUUUAACAUUUGAAAACACCUCUAUUUAUAACUUAAUUACAUGCAAAAAUGCAUGCAAUUCAUUUGCCAAAUCUCAACACCUAAUGUUCCAUUAACAAUUAGUGGAACUAAGAGUUAGUGGGAUUAUCCAACAAAAUGUUGGAUUUUCCCACUAACUUAGUCCAAGGGUAAAAUGGUCAUUAGAUAUUUCUAGUCAAAAGUCAAACUUUGACUUUUCUUAGUCAAAAGUCAAAAGUCAACAUUUUGACUUUUUACUAUUUUUGACCAAUUCCAUCAAUUCCGAGUUUCUUAGUAUGAAUCCGCAUUCAUACUUAUAGUAUGUAAAACAUAAAGCUCUAUUUCUAAUUAGAAGAUCGACGACUAUAUCACUAUAUUUGUCGGUUUCCCUUUCUUCUUCCAAUUCGAACAAUUCGACUUAUUUCAUCACACUGUUCUAAGUUUAAUAUCCAUAUGAGCUAGCAGAGGAACCUGAUGGACCUAUAGAUCAUGGGCUCCAACGAUUCAAGAUUAACUAGCUAAACUCUUUUAAACCGAGUUAAUCAACAUUCGUUAACUAACGGGUCAUUCCACUAAAGUCCCGUAGUUGCACUCCCCUCACUAUAGAUAUACUUGUAUCCAUUGGAUAAAACCAUAAUCAGUAAGUUAAUCCUUCACAGGUUGCUCGUAACCUUGGUUGGGUCAAAAUACCGUUUUACCCCCAAUAUUACAUCUUGCUCCUUAAGUCCCACUAAUCCACUAUUGAACAAUUGGUUUAAGGUUCAACCUAUAAACUUAAUCCCUCUCUGGCCAAUGAGAGGGUGGGGCCCCUUGUUCAAGACUUGGAUUCAGUGCUUAAGAGAACAACCUAUCUACUAACCCUAAAGCGGGUAGGAGUGAAUUCCAUCUUGUACCCUAUGUUCCCAGCUAUCCACCCGAUCUUACCCCUGAUAUGGGAGGCUUAUUAGGCCAACGCUGAUGAGCUGCCCUCACCUAUGUAGAUCUAAGGAUAAUCUAGUGUGAUCAGGAGUUCAUAGUUAACUCAGGAUUAAGACUAAGUUACCUAGGUCAUCAAUAAUUGAGAUAGUCAGUUUUAACAGUAAACGGUGUUAUAACGUAAAAAAGACUAAUUCAUGGUUCAGUCUUAUGUAAACAUUUUACAUAGGAUGCCCCCACUUUCAUGUCUCUACAUGAACGAUUAGGAUCACCUCGUUUGUACUACAAAGUGGGCCGCAUCCAUAGUUUCUCUAAAUAAGGCGCCCAACCUUUAUUCAUAUACUAUAGACUAUUUAGGCUAUAUACUCGAACUUGAUCCACGUUUAUGUUUACACAUAAAGUUCAAGUUUAUUCAAAAAUAGCCUCGGAACUUGAUUUAUUGGAUUUAAAAUUAUAAUAUUUAAUUUCUCAAUAACAACUUUAUUGAACAGAAUAUGAUUUACAAACUACGAGUUUUAGGACAAAAAAUUCCAACACGGAGACCUCGAAAGUUCACGUCUAGCUACUGGGUGGUUCGAUUCUGAGUGGUCUCGAAGUUUCUUGCCCACAGAAGACGAACGGUGAUGCCCCAGACUCGGUUUCUUGGUUCCGUCCAAAACGUCGAAAGAAAGGCACAAUGGCUAGAAAGGAACGACCAGACUUAGAACGGAUCGGAGGCCUCAAAAGUUACACGUCUGGCUACUGGGUGGUCUCGAAGUUUCUUGCCCACAAAAGCCGAACGGUUAUGCCCCAGACUCGAUUUCUUGGUUCCGUCCCAAAACGCCGAAAGAAAGGCACAAUGGCCUAGAAAGGAACGACCGGACUUAGAACGAGGUCGGAGGCCUCGAAAGUUCAAGUCUAGCUACUGGGUGGUCUCGAAGUUUCUUGCCCACAAAAGCCGAACGGUAUGCCCCAGAAUCGGUUUCUUGGUUCCAUCCCAAAAUGCCGAAACAAAGGCACAAUGGCCUAAAAAGGAACGACCUGACUUAAAACGGGGUCGGAGGCCUCGAAAGUUCACGUCUGGCUACUAGGUGGUCCGAUUCUGAGUGGCCUCGAAGUUUCUUUCCCACAAAAGCCGAACGAUGAUGCCCCAGACUCGGUAUCUUGUUUCCGUCCCAAAACGCCGAAAGAAAGGCACAAUGGCCUAGAAAGGAACGACCGGACUUAGAACGGGGUCGGAGGCCUCGAAAGUUCACGUCUGGUGACUGGGUGGUCCGAUUCUCAGUGGUCUCGAAGUUUCUUGCCCCCAAAAGCCGAACGGUGAUGCCCCAGACUCGGUUUCUUGGUUCCGUCCCAAAACGCCGAAAGAAAGGCAGAAUGGCCUAGAAAGCAACGACCGGACUUAGAACGGGAUCGGAGGCCUCGAAAGUUCACGUCUGGCUACUGGGUGGUUCGAUUCUGAGUGGCCUCGAAGUUUCUUGCCCACAAAAGCCGAACGGUGAUGCCCCAGACUCUGUUUCUUGGUUCCGUCCCAAAACGUCGAAAGAAAGGCACAAUGGCCUAGAACGGAACGACCGGACUUAGAACGGGGUCGGAGGCCUUGAAAGUUCACGUCUGGCUACUGGGUGGGCCAAUUCUGAGUGGUCUCGAAGUUUCUUGGCCAAAAAAGCCGAACGGUGAUGCCCCAGACUUGGUUUCUUGGUUCCGUCCCAAAACGACGAAAAAAAGGCACAAUGGCCUAGAAAGGAACGACCGGACUUAGAACGGAAUCGUUGGCCUCGAAAGUUCACGUUCGACUACUAGGUGGUCCGAUUCAGAGUGGCCUCGAAGUUUCUUGCCCACAAAAGCCGAACGGUGAUGCACAGACUCGGUUUCUUGGUUCCGUCCCAAAACGCCGAAAGAAAGGCACAAUGGCCUAGAAAGGAACGACAGUACUUAGAACGGGGUCGGAGGCCUCGAAAGUUCACGUCUUGCUACUGGAUUGUCCGAUUCUGAGUGGCCUCGAAGUUUCUUGCCCACAAAAGCCAAACGGGUGAUGCCCCAGACUCGGUUUCUUGGUUCCGUCCCAAAACGUCGAAAGAAAGGCACAAUGGCCUAGAAAGGAACGACCGAACUUAGAACGAGGUCGGAGGCCUCGAAAGUACACGUCUGCCUACUGAGUGGUCCGAUUCUGAGUGGUCUCGAAGUUUCUUGCCCACAAAAGCUGAACGGUGAUGCCCCUGACUCGGUUUCUUGGUUCCGUCCCAAAACGCCGAAAGAAAGGCACAAUGGCCCAGAAAGGAACGAUCGAACUUAGAACGGAAUCGUUGGCCUCGAAAGUUCACGUUCGGCUACUGGGUGGUCCGAGUCUGAGUGGCCUCGAAGUUUCUUGCCCACAAAAACCGAACGGUGAUGCCCCAGACUCGGUUUCUUGGUUCCGUCCCAAAACGACGAAAGAAAGGCACGAUGGCCUAGAAAGGAACGACCGAACUUAGAACGAGGUCGGAGGCCUCGAAAGUACACGUCUACCUAAUGAGUGGUCCGAUUCUGAGUGGUCUAGAAGUUUCUUGCCCACAAAAGCUGAACGGUGAUGCCCCUGACUCGGUUUCUUGGUUCCGUCCUAAAACGCCGAAAGAAAGGCACAAUGGCCUAGAAAGGAAUGACCGGACUUAGAACGGAAUCGUUGGCCUCGAAAGUUCACGUUCGGCUACUGGGUGGUCCGAUUCUAAGUGGCCUCGAAGUUUCUUGCCCACAAAAGCCGAACGGUUAUGCCCCUGAAUCGGUUUCUUGGUUCCAUCCCAUAACGCCGAAAGAAAGGCACAAUGGCCUAGAAAGGAACGACCGGACUUAGAACGGGGUCGAAGGCCUCGAAAGUUCACGUCUAGCUACUAGGUGGUCUCGAAGUUUCUUGCCCACAAAAGCCGAACGGUGAUGCCCCAGACUCGGUUUAUUGGUUCCGUACCAAAACGCCGAAAGAAAGGCACAAUGGCCUAGAAAGGAACGACCAAACUUAAAACGGGGUCGAAGGCCUCGAAAGUUCACGUCUAGCUACUGGGUGGUCCAAUUCUGAGUGGUCUCGAAGUUUCUUGCCAACAAAAGCCGAACGGUGAUGCCCAAGACUCGGUUUCUUGGUUCCGUCCCAAAACGCCGAAAAAAAGGCACAAUGGCCUAGAAAGGAACGACCGUACUUAGAACGUGGUCGGAGGCCUCGAAAGUUCACGUCUUGCUACUUGGUGGUCUCGAAGUUUCUUGCCCACAAAAGCCGAACGGUUAUGCCCCAGACUCGGUUUCUUGGUUCCGUCUCAAAACGCCGAAAGAAAGGCACAAUGGCCUAGAAAGGAACGACAGGACUUAGAACGGGGUCGGUGGCCUCGAAAGUUCACGUAUUGCUACUUGGUGGUCUCGAAGUUUCUUGCCCACAAAAGCCGAACGGUUAUGCCCCAGAAUCGGUUUCUUGGUUCCAUCCCAUAACGCCGAAAGAAAGGCACAAUUGCCUAGAAAGGAACGACCGAACUUAGAACAGGGUCGAAGGCCUCGAAAGUUCACGUCUAGCUACUAGGUGGUCUCGAAGUUUCUUGCCCACAAAAGCCGAACGGUGAUGCCCCAGACUCGGUUUCUUGGUUCCGUCCCAAAACGCCGAAAGAAAGGCACAAUGGCCUAGGAAGGAACGAUCAGACUUAGAACGGGGUCGGAGGCCUCGAAAGUUCACGUCUAGCUACUGGGUGGUCUGACUCUGAGUGGUCUUGAAUUUUCUUGCCUACAAAAGCCGAACGGUGAUGCCCGAGACUCGGUUUCUUGGUUCCGUCCCAAAACGCCGAAAGAAAGGCACAAUGGCCUAGAAAGGAACGACCGGACAUAGAACGGGGUAGGAGGCCUCGAAAGUUCACGUUUGGCUAGUGGGUUGUCUGAUUCUGAGUGGUCUCGAUGUUUCUUGCCCACAAAAGCCAAACGGUGAUGCCCAAACUCGGUUUCUUGGUUCCGUCCCAAAACGACAAAAGAAAGGCACAAUGGCCUAGAAAGGAACGACCGGACUUAGAACGGGGUCGGAGGCCUCAAAAGUUCACGUCUGGCUACUGGGUCGUCUGAUUCUGAGUGAUCUCGAAGUUUCUUGCCCACAAAAGCCGAACGGUGAUGCCCCAGACUCGGUUUCUUGGUUCCGUCCCAAAACGGCAAAAGAAAGGCACAAUGGCCUAGAAACAAACGACCAGACUUAGAACGGGGUCGAAGGCCUCGAAAGUUCACGUCUAGCUACUGGGUGGUCUCGAAGUUUCUUGCCCACAAAAGUCGAACGGUGAUGCCCAAGACUCGGUUUCUUGGUUCCGUCCAAAAACGCCGAAAGAAAGGCAUAAUGAUCUAGAAAGGAACGACCAGACUUAGAACGAUGCCGGAGGCCUCGAAAUUCACGUCUAGCUAAUAGGUGGUCUCGAAGUUUCUUGCCCACAAAAGCCGAACGGUGAUGCCCCAGACUCAGUUUCUUGGUUCCGUCCCAAAACGGCAAAAGAAAGGCACAAUGGCCUAGAAACAAACGACCAGACUUAGAACGGGGUCGAAGUCGAAAGUUCACGUCUAGCUACUGGUGGUCUCGAAGUUUCUUGCCCACAAAAGUCGAACGGUGAUGCCCCAGACUCGUUUCUUGUUCCGUCCAAAAAAACGCCGAAAGAAAGAAAGGCAUAAUGAUCUAGAAAGGAACGACCAGACUUAGAACGGGGCCGGAGGCCUCGAAAGUUCACGUCUAGCUAAUAGGUGGUCUCGAAGUUUCUUGCCCACAAAAGCCGAACGGUGAUGCGCCAGACUCGGUUUCUUGGUUCCGUCCAAAAACGGCAAAAGAAAGGCACAAUGGCCUAGAAACAAACGACCAGACUUAGAACGGGGUCGAAGGCCUCGAAAGUUCACGUCUAGCUACUGGGUGGUCCGAUUCUGAGUGGUCUCGAAGUUUCUUGCCCACAAAUGCCGAACGGUGAAGCCCCAGGCUCGGUUUCUUGGUUCCGUCCCAAAACGCCGAAAGAAAGGCACAAUGGCCUAGAAAGGAACGACCGGAUUUGGAACGGGGUCGGAGGCCUCGAAAGUUCACGUCUAGCUAUUAGGUGGUCCGAUUCUGAGUGGUCUCGAAGUUUCUUACCCACAAAACCCGAACGAUGAUGCCCCAAACUCGGUUUCUUGGUUCUGUCCCAAAACGCCAAAACAAAGUCACAAUGGCCUAGAAAGGAACAACCGGACUUAGAACGGGGUCGGAGGAUUCGAAAGUUCACGUCUGGCUACUGGGUGGUCCGAUUCUGAGUGGUCUCAAAGUUUCUUGCCCACAAAAGCCGAACGGUGAUGCCCCAGACUCGGUUUCUUGGUUCCGUCCCAAAACGCCGAAACAAAGGCACAAUUGCCUAGAAAGGAACGACCGGACUUGGAACUGGGUCGGAGGCCUCGAAAGUUCACGUCCACCUACUGGGUGGUCCGAUUCUGAGUGGUCUCGAAGUUUCUUGCCCACAAAAGCCGAACGGUGAUGCCCUAGACUCGGUUUCUUGGUUCCGUUCCAAAACGCCAAAAGAAAGGCACAAUGGCCUAGAAAGGAACGACCGAACUUGGAACGGGGUCGGAGGCCUCGAAUGUUCACGUCUUGCUACUGGGUAGUCCGAUUCUUAGUGGUCUCGAAAUUUCUUCCCAAAAAAGCCGAACGGUGAUGUCCCAGACUCGGUUUCCUGGUUUCGUCCCAAAACGCCGAAAGAAAUGCACAAUGACCUAGAAAGGAACGACCGGACUUGGAACGGGGUCGGAGGCCUCGAAAGUUCACGUCUGGCUACUAGGUGGUCCAAUUUUGAGUGGUUUCAAAGUUUCUUUCCCACAAAAGCCGAACGGUGAUGCCCAGACUCGGUUUCUUGGUUCCGUCCCGAAAUGCCGAAAGAAAGGCACAAUGGCCUAGAAAGGAACGACCGGACAUGGAACGGGGUCGGAGGCCUCGAAAGUUCACGUCUGGCUACUGGGUGGUCCGAUUCUGAGUGGUCUCGAAGUUUCUUGCCCACAAAAGCCGAACGGUGAUGCCCAGACUCGGUUUCCUGGUUGUGUCCCAAAACGCCGAAAGAAAGGCACAAUGGCCUAGAAAGGAACGACCGGACUUAGAACGGGGUCGGAGGCCUCGAAAGUUCACGUCUGGCUACUCGGUGGUCCGAUUCUUAGUGGUCUCAAAAUUUCUUCCCACAAAAGCCGAACGCUGAUUUCCCAGACUCAGUUUCCUGGUUCCGUCCCAAAACGCCAAAAGAAAGGCACAAUGGCCUAGAAAGGAACGACCGGACUUAGAACGGGGUCGGAGGCCUCGAAAGUUCACGUCUUGCUACGUGGUGGUCCGAUUCUUAGUGGUCUCGAAAUUUCUUCCCAAAAAAGCCGAACGGUGAUGUCCCAGACUCGGUUUCCUGGUUUCGUCCCAAAACGCCGAAAGAAAGGGACAAUGGCCUAGAAAGGAAAGACCGGACUUAGAACGGGGUCGGAGGCCUCGAAAGUUCACGUCUUGCUACUUGGUGGUCCGAUUCUUAGUGGUCUCGAAAUUUCUUCCCACAAAAGCCGAACGGUGAUGUCCCAGACUCGGUUUCCUGGUUUCGUCCCAAAACGCCGAAAGAAAGGCACAAUGGCCUAGAAAGGAACGACCGGACUUGGAACGGGGUCGGAGGCCUCGAAAGUUCACGUCUAGCUACUGGGUGGUCCGAUUCUGAGUGGUCUCGAAGUUUCUUGGGCACAAAAGCCGAACGGUGAUGCCUUAGACUCGGUUUCCUCGUUCCGUCCCAAAACGCCGAAACAAAGGCACAAUGGCCUAAAAAGAAACGACCGGACUUAGAACGGGGUCAGAGGCCUCGAAAGUUCACGUCUGGCUACUGGGUGGUCCUAUUCUGAGUGGUCUCGAAGUUUCUUGCCCACAAAAGCCGAACUGUGAUGCCCCAGACUCGGUUUCUUGGUUGCCUCCCAAAACGCCGAAAGAAAGGCACAUUGGCCUAGAAAGGAACGACCGGACUUAGAAUGGGGUCAGAGGCCUCGAAAGUUCACGUCUGGCUAAUGGGUGGUCCUAUUCUUAGUGGUCUCGAAGUUUCUUGCCCACAAAAGCCGAACGGUGAUGCCCCAGACUCGAUUUCUUGGUUCUGUCCCAAAACGUCGAAAGAAAGGCACAAUGGCCUAGAAAGGAACGACCGGACUUAGAACGGGGUCGGAGGCCUCGAAAGUUCAUGUCUAGCUACUGGGUGGUCCGAUUCUGAGUGGUCUUGAAGUUUCUUGCCCACAAAAGCCGAACGGUGAUGCUCCAGACUGGGUUUCUUUGUUCCGUCCCAAAACACCAAAAGAAAGUCACAGUGGCUUGGAAAGGAACGACCGGACUUAGAACGGGGUCGGCGACCUCGAAAGUUCACGUCUAGCUACUGGGUGGUCUGAUUCUGAGUGGUCUCGAAGUUUCUUACCCACAAAAGCCGAACGGUGAUGCUCUAGACUCGAUUUCUUGGUUGGGUCCCAAAACGCAUAAAGAAAUGCACAGUGGCCUAGAAAGGAACGACCGGACUUAGAACGGGGUCGACAGCCUCGAAAGUUCACGUCUAGCUACUGGGUGGUCCGAUUCUGAGUGGUCCUGAAGUUUCUUGCCCACAAAAGUCGAACAGUGAUGCCCCAGACUCGGUUUCUUGGUUCCGUCCGAAAACGCCGAAAGAAAGGCACAGUGGCCUAGAAAGGAACGACCGGCUUAGAACGUGGUCAGCGGCCUCGAAAGUUCACGUCUAGCUACUGGGUGGUCUCGAAGUUUCUUGCCCAUAAAAACCAAACGGUGAUGCCCCAGACUCGGUUUCUUAGUUCGUCCAAAACGAAAGAAAGGCACAGUGGCCUGGAAAGGAACGACCGGACUUAGAACGGGGUCGGCGACCUCGAAAGUUCACGUCUAGCUACUGGGUGGUCCGAUUGUGAGUGGUCUUGAAGUUUCUUGCCCACAAAAGCCGAACGGUGAUGCCCAGACUGGGUUUCUUGGGUCCGUCCAAAACGCCGAAAGAAAGGCACAGUGGCCUAGAAAGGAACGACCGGACUUAGAACGGGGUCGGCAGCCUCGAAAGUUCACGUCUAGCUACUGGGUGGUCCGAUUCUGAGUGGUCUCAAAGUUUCUUGCCCACAAAAGCCGAACGGUGAUGCCCAGACUCGGUUUCUUGGUUGUCCCAAAACGCCGAAAGAAAGGCACAUGGCCUAGAAAGGAACGACCGGACUUAGAACGGGUCAGGCGACCUCGAAAGUUCACGUCUAGCUACUGGUGGUCCGAUUCUGAGUGGUCUCGAAGUUUCUUGCCCACAAAAGCCGAACGGUGAUGCCCAGACUCGGUUUCUUGGUUCCGUCCCAAAACGCCGAAAGAAAGGCACAGUGGCUAGAAAGGAACGACCGGACUUAGAACGGGGUCGGCGGCCUCGAAAGUUCACGUCUAGCUACUGGGUGGUCCGAUUCUGAGUGGUCUCGAAGUUUCUUGCCCACAAAAGCCGAACGGUGAUGCCCAGACUCGGUUUCUUGGUUCCGUCCCAAAACGCCGAAAGAAAGGCACAGUGCCUAGAAAGGAACGACCGGACUUAGAACGGGGUCAGGCCUCGAAAGUUCACGUCUAGCUACUGGUGGUCUCGAAAGUUUCUUGCCCACAAAAGCCGAACGGUGAUGCCCUAGACUCGGUUUCUUGGUUGCGUCCCAAAACGCCGAAAGAAAGGCACAGUGGCCUAGAAAGGAACGACCGGACUUAGAACGGGGUAGGCGACUCGAAAGUUCACGUCUAGCUACUGGGUGGUCCGAUUCUGAGUGGUCUCGAAGUUUCUUGCCCACAAAAGCCGAACGGUGAUGCCCAGACUCGGUUUCUUGGUUCCGUCCAAAACGCCGAAAGAAAGGCACAAUGGCCUGGAAAGGAACGACCGGACUUAGAACGGGGUCGGCGGCCUCGAAAGUUCACGUCUAGCUACUGGGUGGUCGAUUCUGAGUGGUCUCGAAGUUUCUUGCCCACAAAAGCCGAACGGUGAUGCCCAGACUCGGUUUCUUGGUUCCGUCCCAAAACGCCGAAAGAAAGGACAAUGGCCUAGAAAGGAACGACCGGACUUAGAACGGGGUCGGAGGCCUCGAAAGUUCACGUCUAGCUACUGGUGGUCGAUUCUGAGUGGUCUCGAAGUUUCUUGCCCACAAAAGCCGAACGGUGAUGCCCCAGACUCGGUUUCUUGGUUCCGUCCCAAAACUCCGAAAGAAAGGCACAAUGGCCUGAAAGGAACGACUCGACUUAGAACGGGUCGGCACCUCGAAAGUUCACGUCUAGCUACUGGGUGGUUCGAUUCUGAGUGGUCUCGAAGUUUCUUGCCCACAAAAGCCGAACGGUGAUGCCCCAGACUCGGUUUCUUGGUUCCGUCCCAAAACGCCGAAAGAAAGGCACAGUGCCUAGAAAGGAACGAUCGGACUUAGAACCGGGGUCAGGCCUCGAAAGUUCACGCUAGCUACUGGCGUGGUCUCGAAGUUUCUUGCCCACAAAAGCCGAACGGUGAUGCCCCAGACUCGGUUUCUUGGUUCCGACCCAAAACGCCGAAAGAAAGCCACGGUUGCCUGGAAAGGAACAACCGGACUGAGAACGGGGUCGGCGACCUCGAAAGUUCACGUCUAGCUACUGGGUGGUCCGAUUCUGAGUGGUCUCGAAGUUUCUUGCCCACAAAAGCCAAACGGGGAUGCUCCAGACUCGAUUUCUUGGUUGCGUCCCAAAACGCCGAAAGAAAGAAACAAUGGCCUAGAAAGGAACGACCAAACUUAGAACGGGGUCAGCGGCCUCGAAAGUUCACGUCUAGCUACUGGUUGGUCUCGAAGUUUCUUGCCCACAAAAGCCGAACGGUGAUGCCCCAGACUCGGUUUCUUAGUUGCGUCCCAAAAUGCCGAAAGAAAGGCACAGUGGCCUUGAAAGGAACGACCGGACUUAGAACGGGGUCGGGCGACCUCGAAAGUUCACGUCUAGCUACUGGGUGGUCCGACUCUGAGUGGUCUCGAAGUUUCUUGCCCACAAAAGCCGAACGGUGAUGCCCCCAGACUCGGUUUCUUGGUUCCGUCCCAAAACGCCGAAAGAAAGGCACAAUGGCCUGGAAAAGAACGACUCGACUUAGAACGGGGUCGGCGACCUCGAAAGUUCACGUCUAGCUACUGGGUGGUUCGAUUCUUAGUGGUCUCGAAGUUUCUUGCCCACAAAAGCCGAACGGUGAUGCCCCAGACUCGGUUUCUUGGUCUCGUCCCAAAACGCCGAAAGAAAGGCACAAUGGCCUGGAAAGGAACGACCGGACUUAGAACGGGGUCGGCGACCUCGAAAGUUCACGUCUAGCUACUGGGUGGUUCGAUUCUGAGUGGUCUCGAAAUUUCUUGCCCACAAAAGCCGAACGGUGAUGCCCCAGACUCGGUUUCUUGGUUCCGUCCCAAAACGCCGAAAGAAAGGCACAGUUGCCUAGAAAGGAACGACCGGACUUAGAACGGGGUCAGCGGCCUCGAAAGUUCACGGCUAGCUACUGGGUGGUCUCGAAGUUUCUUGCCCACAAAAGCCGAACGGUGAUGCCCCAGACUCGGUUUCUUGGUUCCGACCCAAAACGCCGAAAGAAAGCCAUAGUGGCCUGGAAAGGAACGACCGGACAGAGAACGGGGUCGGCGACCUUGAAAGUUCACGUCUAGCUACUGGGUGGUCCGAUUCUGAGUGGUCUCGAAGUUUCUUGCCCACAAAAGCCAAACGGGGAUGCUCCAGACUCGAUUUCUUGGUGGCGUCCCAAAACGCCGAAAGAAAGGCACAAUGGCCUAGAAAGCAACGACCAGACUUAGAACGGGGUCGGCGGCCUCGAAAGUUCACGUCUAGCUACUGUGUGGUCCGAUUCUGAGUGGUCUCGAAGUUUCUUGCCCACAAAAACCUAACGGUGAUGCCCCAGACUCGGUUUCUUGGUUCCGUCUCAAAACGCUGAAAGAAAGGCACAGUGGCCUGGAAAGGAACGACCAGACUUAGAACGGGGUCGGCGACCUCGAAAGUUCACGUCUAGCUACUGGGUGGUCCGAUUCUUAGUGGUCUCAAAGGUUCUUGCCCACAAAAGCUGAACGGUGAUGCCCCAGACUCGGUUUCUUGGUUGCGUCCCAAAUCGCCGAAAGAAAGACACAUUGGCCUAGAAAGGAACGACCGGGCUUAGAACGUGGUCAGCGGCCUUGAAAGUUCUCGUCUAGCUACUGGGUGGUCCGAUUCUGAGUGGUCUCGAAGUUUCUUGCCCACAAAAGCCGAACGGUGAUGCCCAAACUCGGUUUCUUGGUGCCGACCCAAAACACCGAAAGAAAGGCACAGUGGCCUAGAAAGGAACGACCGGACUUAGAACGGGGUCGGCGGCCUCGAAAGUUCACGUCUAGCUAUUGGGUGGUCCAAUUCUGAGUGGUCUCGAGGUUUCUUGCCCACAAAAGCCGAACGGUGAUGCCCCAGACUCGAUGUCUUGGUUCCGACCCAAAACGCCGAAAGAAAGGCACAGUGGCCUGGAAAGGAACGACCGGACUUAGAACGGGGUCGGAGGCCUCGAAAGUUCACAUCUAGCUACUUGGUGGUCUCGAAGUUUCUUGCCCACAAAAGCCAAACGGUGAUGCCCCAGACUCGAUUUCUUGGUUCCGUCCCAAAACGCCGAAAGAAAGGCACAAUGGCCCAGAAAGGAACGACCGGACUUAGAACAGGGUCGGAGGCCUCAAAAGUUCACGUCUAGCUACUGGGUGGUCCGAUUCUCAGUGGUCUCAAAGUUUCUUGCCCACAAAAGCCAAACGGUGAUGCCCUAGACUCGGUUUCUUGGUUCAUUUCAAUAAAGUUGUUAUUGAGAAAUUAAAUAUUAUAAUCUUAAAUCCAAUAAAUCAAGUUCCAAGGCUAUUUUUGAAUAAACUUGAACUUUAUGUGUAAACAUAAACGUGGAUCAAGUUCGAUAUAUAGCCUAAAUAGUCUAUAGUAUAUGAAAUAAAGGUUGGGCGCCUUAUUUAGAGAAACUAUGGAUGCGACCCACUUUGUAGUACAAACGAAGUGAUCCUAAUCGUUCAUGUAGAGACAUGAAAGUGGGGGCAUCCUAUGUAAAAUAUUUAGAUAAGACUGAACCAUGAAUUAGUCUUUUUUACGUUAUAACACCGUUUACAGUUUAAAACUGACUAUCUCAAUUAUUGAUGACCUAGGUAACUUAGUCUUAAUCCUGAGUUAACUAUGAACUCCUGUUCACACGAGAUUAUCCUUAGAUCUGCAUAGGUGAGGGCAGCUCAUCAGCGUUGGCCCAAUAAGCUUCCCAUUUCAGGGGUAACAUCAGGUGGAUAGCUGGGAACAUAGGGUACAAGAUGGAAUUCACUCCUACCCGCUUUUGGGUUAGUAGAUAGGUUGUUCUCUUAAGCACUGAAUCCAAGUCUUGAACAAGGGGCCCCACCCUCUCAUUGGCCCGAGAGGGAUUAAGUUUAUAGGUGAACCUUAAACCAAUUGUUCAAUAGUGGAUUAGUGGGACUUAAGGAGCAAGAUGUAAUCUUGGGGUAAAACGGUAUUUUGACCCAGCCAAGGUUACGAGCAACCUGUGAAGGAUUAACUUACUUAUUCUGGUUUUAUCAAAUGGACACAAAUAUAUCUAUAGUGAGGGGAGUGCAACUACGGGACUUUAGUGGAAUGACCCGUUAGUUAACGAAUGUUGAUUAACUCGGUUUAAAAGAGUUUAGCUAGUUAAUCUUGAAUCGUUGGAGCCCAUGAUCUAUAGGUCCAUUAGGUUCCUCUACUUGCACAUAUGGAUUAAACUUAGAACAGUGUGAUGAAAUAAAUUGGGAGAAGAAAGGGAAACCGACAAAUAUAGUGAUAUAGUCGUCGGUCUUCUAAUUAGAAAUAGAGCUUUAUGUUUUACAUACUAUAAGUAUGAAUGCGGAUUCAUACUAAGAAGCUCAGAAUUGAUGGAAUUGGUCAAAAACUAGUAAAAAGUCAAAAUGUUGACUUUUGACUUUGAAAAGUCAAACUUUGACCGGCCUUAUAUUCAAAUGUGUUUUGAAUAUUGGAAAAAUGAAUGCGGAUUCAUGCUCGGGAGGUUGGAAUUAGUCAAGACGGACAAAAUGGUAAAAAGUCAAAAUAUUGACUUUUGACUAAGAAAAGUAAAGUUUGACUUUUGACUAGAAAUAUCUAAUGACCAUUUUACCCUUGGACUAAGUUAGUGGGAAAAUCCAACAUUUUGUUGGAUAAUCCCACUAACUCUUAGUGGGAUAUGUGGCUAUAUGAGAUAUAGACACCUAGCCCACUAAGUUCCACUAAUUGUUAGUGGAACGGUAGGUGUUGAGAUUUGGCAAAUGAAUUGCAUGCAUUUUUGCAUGUAAUUAGGUUAUAAAUAGAGGUGUUUUCAAAUGUUGAAAAGACUUUUGCCUCUUUUAUCAUUUUCAUCAUCUCAACAAAAGAAAAAAAAACUUCCAAUCCCAUUUUAUCUCCAUUUCUUUCUACACCAAAAUUGGGUCCCACAACCCGGUUCUUUGUCUAGAGGAUAGCAGUUGAGUACUAGUGGUGGUCUCGGUUAGAAUUGGUAAGAAGAUAUCAAACCUUUUGAAAGCUUCAAAGGUAAUAUUUCUUAAAACCCUAAUUUGAUUAGUUUAUGGUUACAUGUUAAUUGUGGCAAUUAGGGUAGAAAUUCGAUUCUUUUUCCGCUGUGCAUGACUUAGUUCUUUCAUGUGGUAUCAGAGCAUGCUUCAUUUUUACCCAAUUGCAUGUGGUGGGUUCAUAUUCAUAUUUAUUAGAUAAAUUUUGGUUUGAACUAAAAUGGAUAUAUUAUGAUUUUGGCUCUAGAAAGUGUUUUUUGUUCUAAUUAUUGUAAUUAGCCUUGUUAAUGGCUUAUUUUUAUUUUGCAAAGUGUUUGUAAUUUUUUUAAAAAAAAAAAAUCAUUAGAGUUGAAGUAGGCUGUAACUGGUUCAACCGGGUGAGAGAAUUGAAAAUAAUGAAGAAAAGAAGGUCACAGACCCGAAAACCCGCCUUGACCCGCUUCGCGACCCUCCUGCGCCCGCCUACGCCCGACCCGUGUGCGCCUAGGCCUGUUUAGUUAAUUGGGCCGGUUAAGCCAAUAAAUUUGGUUUUUGGGCCGGUUCAAGCGGUUUCGGUUGGUUUUUCAGCCGGUUCGAAGUUUUUGGGAGUGGUUCUGUACUACACCAAUUUAAUUAUGUAAUAAUUUAGUAGUUAGCUUAAUUUAGGAGCCAAAAAUCAGUCAAUUUUAGGGUGUUUUUUAUUUAUUUAUGCAUGUGAUGUAUGAUUAAAUUACUUUAAAUUUGUAUGUGCAUUUUGAAUGUCAUAUAGAUUUAAAAUCCCACCAUAUGUUAACAUGUUCAUGCAUUAAAAUGUAUGAUAUAAAGGUUAUAUUGUAUUAUAUGCAUGUUAAUUGAUUAAUAUGGAAAUUAAUUAAUAUGAUUAAUAAUUAUUUAAUUAAUAAGUUAUUCUUGAUUAAAUAUGAUUUAAUCAAUUAAUUAAUUAUUGUUUGAUUUAAUUUAAUUAAAUAUGAUUUAAUCAAAAAUUAAUUAUUGUUUGAUUUAAUUUAAUUAAAUAUGAUUUAAUCAAAUUAAUUAAUUAUUGUUUGAUUUAAUUUAAUUAAAUAUGAUUUAAUUAAAGUUAAAUAAAUUAAAAUCCAUAUUAAUUGAUUGUUUUUAUAAGGUUAUAUAUUAAAAUGAUUGAUUAAGUCUAAAAAAUUUUAUAAGUGUUAUAAAAUAAAUUAGACUUUUAAAAUCAAUAACAAAGAUUAAAUGCAUGCUCACUUAGGUUAAACAUAUCUUCCAUUUUUCAUAGAAAUAGGUCGAUAUCUUGUAAAACUGGUUACAAAAGGCUCACCUGGUUCAAUCUUGUCAACAAGUCAGAUAAGAUGACUAAGGUUGGAGGUUCUUAAGUUGACGGUUUACGGAACACCUCCUACCUGGAGAUCGUAAUUAGUUCUUGAGCUAGUUAACCUAGUUUUAUGAGCAUUCGUGAGAGGUGUGAGGUAAUAAAAAUGGUUUAUCACCUAGACAUCAUAGGUUAAAAUCCUGUAUAAUGGUUAUACUUGGAUGUUUUAUCUAGACUUAAGAUUUGUUUAAGUUAGCCUAAAUAUAAAUCUUGAAGCUUGGAUACCCUAUUUUUUUCUUUAGAACACUUCAACUAGAGAAAAAUAAUGUAUUUUAGCUCUAGUGUCCCUAAGAGUUCACACCGUGAGGUCCAUGCAGGGCUUUGUGCCGUGCAUAGGAGCGCGCCUCCCUUCAGAGAGUGUUUGCAUGGAUCAAAAUCAAGGUGAAUAGGGGAAGUAGUUCAUAGUAAGUGGGUGAGGGAUUUGUGGCAGCACAUCCCACGGUCUCUUCCAUUAGAUCGCACCGUGAGAUUUCUAUAAUAUGCUACUUGUCUGCCUGGAGCGACGUUCCCUUCGGAGGUUGUAUUAUAGGAUUCGGAACACCGUAACUCCAAAUCUGGAUAGGUUUCUUAGAUUAGUUUUCAUAAAUGAUUCUAAUCUAUGAAAUCUGAAAAUGGUGGGUAACACUUACAAGAAUUACUAAGUUGUUAGUAUAUUCUUGACUAAAGUAGUGAUAACUAAGUGCUAUAAAGAAUAAGCAGUUAUUCAAGAGAUAGCAUCUAGUCAAGAUUGUCUUGGUUCAAAGGAGGAAUAAUCAACUACCUUCGGAGAAGGUUGUUCUAAACCUUGAAAUAUUGUUGCAAAAUACAAAUAAUGAAAGGGUACAUUAUUAGUAAUUGCUAAAUUAGAUUGGAUAUUUUUUAUGAUUAUAGUUUUUUUCCUAAAAAAAAUAUGUUUGUUUUUCAGCAUGAAUAGCUCAAUAGUUCAACUUUUAGCUUCCGAAAAACUUAAUGGCGAUAAUUAUACGGCUUGGAAAUCAAAUCUUAAACAAUACUAGUGGUUGACGAUUUAAGAUUUUCUUAACUGAGGAAUGUUCUCAAAACCCUGCCUCUAAUGCUAACCGAACUAGUCGGGAUGCAUAUGAUCGAUGGAUAGAUAAAAGCUAAUGAAAAAGCCCGUGUCUACAUUCUUGCCAGCAUGUAUGAUGUAUUGGCAAAGAAACAUGAAUCGUUAGCCACGGCUAAAGAGAUUAUGGAUUCAUUAAGGGGAAUGUUUGGGCAACCAGAAUGGUCCUUAAGACACGAGGCAGUCAAAUACAUUUACACUAAGUGUAUGAAGGAAGGGACCUCUUUUAGAGAACAUGUUCUGGACAUGAUGAUGCACUUCAACAUCGCUGAAGUGAAUGGUGGUCCCAUCGAAGAGGUUAAUCAAGUUAGUUUUAUCUUAGAGUCUCUUUCGAAGAGCUUCAUUCCAUUCCAAACGAAUGCGUCUUUGAACAAGAUAGAAUUUAACUUGACAACCCUUCUGAAUGAACUCGCGAUUCCAAAACCUUACUAUGGGUAAAGGAAAACAAGUGGAAGCAAAUGUUGCUACCACAAAAAGAAAAUUUAUAAGAGGAUCGUCCUCUAAAACCAAAGCUGGACCCUCAAAACCUAAUGCUCAAAUAAAAAGAAGGGAAAGGGAAAGACUCCCAAACAGAACAAGGAUAAGAAAGGUGCAGAAAAAGGUAAGUGUUACCAUUGUGGCCAAAAACGGGCACUGGUUAAGAAACUGCCCAAAAUACCUUGCAGAAAAAAAGGCAGAGAAGGAACACAAGGUAAAUAUGAUUUACUAGUUGUAGAAACAUGUUUAGUGGAACAUGAAAAUUGUACCUGGAUACUAGAUUCAGGAGCCACUAACAUAUUUGCUUCUCAUUUCAGGAAAAUAGUUCUUGAAAAAGCUUUCAGAAGGCGAGAUCACUCUCAAGGUUGGAACAGGAGAGAUGGUCUCACUUCAGCAGUGGGAGAUUUAAAGUUGUUUUUUAGAGAUAGAUAUGUCAUACUUAAGAAUGUCUUAUAUGUACCUCAAAUGAAAAGAAAUUUAAUAUCUAUCUCUUGUAUUUUGGAACAAAUGUAUAGAAUAUCUUUUGAAAUUAAUGAAGCGUUCGUUUUCUAUAAAGGUAUUCUAGUUUGUUCUGCUAUACUUGAAGACAACUUAUAUAAGUUAAGACCAACCAAAGCAAAUUUUGUCUUAAAUACUUAAAUAUUCAGAACAGCUGAAACUCAGAAUAAAAGACAAAAAGUUUCUUCUAAUACCUAUUUAUGGCACUUAAGACUUGGUCACAUAAAUCUCAAUAGGAUUAGGAGAUUAGUUAAAAGUGGGCUUCUAAGUCAGUUAGAAAAUAACACAUUACCUCCUUGAGAAUCUUGUCUUGAAGGAAAAAUGACCAAGAGAUCUUUUACUGGAAAAGGUCUAAGAGCCAAAGGACCCUUAGAGCUCGUACAUUCGGACCUUUGUGGACCAAUGAAUGUCAAAGCUCGAGGUGGAUAUGAAUAUUUCAUUAGCUUCAUUGAUGAUUAUUCAAGGUAUGGUCAUAUUUACCUAAUACAUCGUAAGUCUAAUAGUCUUGAAAAGUUCAACGAAUAUAAGGCUGAAGUAGAAAACGAAUUAGGUAAAACAAUAAAAAAUACUUCGAUCAGAUCGAGGUGGAGAGUAUAUGGACUUACGAUUCCGAGACUAUUUAAUAGAAAAUGGAAUUCAGUCACAACUCUCUUCACCUAGUACACCUCAACAGAACGGUGUAUCAGAAAGAAGAAACCGGACCUUGUUAGACAUGGUUCGCUCUAUGAUGAGUUUUUCUCAGAUGCCAGAUUCUUUUUGGGGAUAUGCUUUAGAAACAGCUGUUUAUAUUUUGAAUAAUGUUCCCUCUAAAAGUGUUUCAGAAACACCUUAUGAGCUAUGGAAAGGGCGUAAAGGAAGUUUACGUCGUUUUAGAAUUUGGGGUUGUCCAGCACAUGUGUUGGUACAAAAUCCUAAGAAGUUGGAACAUCGUUCAAAAUUAUGCUUUUUCAUAGGUUAUCCAAAAGAAUCAAGAGGUGGUUUGUUUUAUGAUCCUCAAGAAAAUAAAAUAUUUGUGUCAACAAAUGCCACAUUCUUAGAGGAAGACCACAUCAGGGAUCAUCAACCUCGUAGUAAACUAUAGUAUUAAAAGAAAUUUCCAAAAGUGCUAUAGAUAAACCUAGUUCAUCCACUAAGGUAGUUGAUAAGACUAGGAAAUCUGGUCAAUCACAUCCUUCUCAACAAUUGAGAGAGCCUCGACGUAGUGGGAGGGUUGUUCAACAGUCUAAUGCGGAUUCAUGCUCGGGAGGUUGGAAUUAGUCAAGACAGACAAAAUGGUAAAAAGUCAAAAUAUUGACUUUUGACUAAGAAAAGUCAAAGUUUGACUUUGGACUAGAAAUAUCUAAUGACCAUUUUACCCUUGGACUAAGUUAGUGGGAAAAUCCAACAUUUUGUUGGAUAAUCCCACUAACUCUUAGUGAGAUAUGUGGCUAUAUGAGAUAUAGACACCUAGCCCACUAAGUUCCACUAAUUGUUAGUGGAACGGUAGGUGUUGAGAUUUGGCAAAUGAAUUGCAUGCAUUUUUGCAUGUAAUUAGGUUAUAAAUAGAGGUGUUUUCAAAUGUUGAAAAGACUUUUGCCUCUUUUAUCAUUUUCAUCAUCUCAACAAAAGAAAAAAAAACCUUCCAAUCCUAUUUUAUCUCCAUUUCUUUCUACACCAAAGUUGGGUCCCACAACCCGGUUCUUUGUCUAGAGGAUAGCAGUUGAGUACUAGUGGUGGUCUCGGUUAGAAUUGGUAAGAAGAUAUCAAACCUUUUGAAAGCUUCAAAGGUAAUAUUUCUUAAAACCCUAAUUUGAUUAGUUUAUGGUUACAUGUUAAUUGUGGCAAUUAGGGUAGAAAUUCGAUUCUUUUUCCGCUCUGCAUGACUUAGUUCUUUCAGGUUUCGUCCCAAAACGCAGAAAGAAAGGCACAAUGGCCUAGAAAGGAACGACCGGACUUAGAGCGGGGUCGAAGGCCUCGAAAGUUCACGUCUAGCUACUGGGUGGUCCGAUUCUGAGUGGUCUCGAAGUUUCUUGCCCACAAAAGCCGAACGAUGAUGCCCCAGACUGAGUUUCUUCGUUCCGUCCCAAAACGCCGAAAGAAAGGCACAAUGGCUUAGAAAGGAACGACCGGACUUAGAACGGGGUCGGAGGCCUCGAAAGUUCACGUAUGGCUACAAGGUGGUCCGAUUCUGAGUGGUCUCGAAGUUUCUUGCCCACAAAAGACGAACGGUGAUUCCCCAGACUCGGUUUCUUGGUUCGUCCCAAAACGCCGAAAGAAAGGCACAAUGGCCUAGAAAGGAACGACCGGACUUAGAACGGGGUCGGAGGCCUCGAAAGUUCACGUCUGGCUACUGGGUGGUCCGAUUCUAAGUGGUCUCGAAGUUUCUUGCCCACAAAAGCCGAACGGUGAUGCCCAGACUCGAUUUCUUGGUUCAGUCCCAAAACGCCGAAAGAAAGGCACAAUGGCCUAGAAAGGAACGAUCGGACAUAGAACGGGUUCGGAGGCCUCGAAAGUUCACGUCUGGCUACUGGGUGGUCCGAUUUUUAGUGGUAUCAAAGUUUCUUGCCAACAAAAGCCGAACGGUGAUGCCCAGACUCGGUUUCUUGGUUCCGUCCCAAAACGCCGAAAGAAAGGCACAAUGGCCUAGAAAGAAACGAUCGGACAUAGAACGGGGUCGGAGGCCUCGAAAGUUCACGUCUAGCUACUGGGUGGACCGAUUCUUAGUGGUAUCAAAGUUUCUUGCCCACAAAAGCCGAACGUUGAUUCCCAGACUCGGUUUCUUGGUUCCGUCCCAAAACGCCGAAAGAAAGGCACAAUGGCCUAGAAAGGAACGACCGGACUUAGAACGGGUCGGAGGCCUCGAAAGUUCACGUCUGGCUACUGGGUGGUCCGAUUCUGAGUGGUCUCGAAGUUUCUUGCCCACAAAAGCCGAACGGUGAUGCCCAGACUCGGUUUCUUGGUUCCGUCCCAAAACGCCGAAAGAAAGGCACAAUGGCCUAGAAAGGAACGACCGGACUUGGAACGGGGUCGAAGGCCUCAAAAGUUCACGUCUGGCUACUGGGUGGUCCGAUUCUGAGUGGUCUCGAAGUUUCUUGCCCACAAAAGCCGAACGGUGAUGCCCAGACUCGGUUUCUUGGUUCCGUCCCAAAACGCCGAAAGAAAGGCACAAUGGCCUAGAAAGGAACGACCGGACUUAGAACGGGGUCGGCGGCCUCGAAAGUUCACCUCUAGCUACUGGGUGGUCCGAUUCUGAGUGCUCCUAAAGUUUCUUGCCCACAAAAGCCGAACGGUGAUGCCCCAGACUCGGUUUCUUGGUUUCGUCCCAAAACGCCGAAAGAAAGGCACAAUGGCCUAGAAAGGAAGGACGGGACUUAGAACGGGGUCGGAGGCCUCGAAAGUUCACGUCUAGCUACUGGGUGGUCCGAUUCUGAGUGGUCUCGAAGUUUCUUGCACAAAAGCCGAACGGUGAUGCCCCAGACUCGGUUUCUUGGUUCCGUCCCAAAACGCCGAAAGAAAGGCACAAUGGCCUAGAAAGGAACGACGGACUUAGAACGGGGUCGGACCUCGAAAGUUCACGUCUAGCUACUGGGUGGUCCGAUUCUGAGUGGUCUCGAAGUUUCUUGCCCACAAAAGCCGAACGGUGAUCCCCAGACUCGGUUUCUUGGUUCCGUCCCAAAACGCCGAAAGAAAGGCACAAUGGCCUAGAAAGGAACGACGGACUUAGAACGGGGUCGGCGGCCUCGAAAGUUCAAUCUGGCUACUGGGUGGUCCGAUUCUAGUGGUCUCGAAGUUUCUUGCCCACAAAAGCCGAACGGUGAUGCCCCAGACUCGGUUUCUUGGUUCCGUCCCAAAACGCCGAAAGAAAGGCACAAUGGCCUAAAAGGAACGACCGGACUUAGAACGGGGUCGGAGGCCUCGAAAGUUCACGUCUGGCUACUGGGUGGUCCGAUUCUAGUGGUCUCGAAGUUUCUUGCCCACAAAAGCCGAACGGUGAUGCCCCAGACUCGGUUUCUUGGUUCCGUCCCAAAACGCCGAAAGAAAGGCACAAUGGCCUAGAAAGGAACGACCGGACUUAGAACGGGGUCGGAGGCCUCGAAAGUUCACGUCUGGCUACUGGGUGGUCCGAUUCUCAGCAGUCUCGAAGUUUCUUGCCCACAAAAGCCGAACGGUGAUGCCCCAGACUCGGUUUCUUGGUUCCGUCCCAAAACGCCGAAAGAAAGGCACAAUGGCCUAGAAAGGAACGACCGGACUUAGAACGGGGUCGGAGGCCUCGAAAGUUCACGUCUGGCUACUGGGUGGUCCGAUUCUGAGCGGUCUCGAAGUUUCUUGCCCACAAAAGCCGAACGGUGAUGCCCAGACUCGGUUUCUUGGUUCCGUCCCAAAACGCCGAAAGAAAGGCACAAUGGCCUAGAAAGGAACGACCGGACUUAGAACGGGGUCGGAGGCCUCGAAAGUUCACGUCUGGCUACUGGGUGGUCCGAUUCUGAGUCUCGAAGUUUCUUGCCCACAAAAGCCGAACGGUGAUGCCCCAGACUCGGUUUCUUGGUUCCGUCCCAAAACGCCGAAAGAAAGGCACAAUGGCCUAGAAAGGAACGACCGGACUUAGAACGGGUCGGAGGCCUCGAAAGUUCACGUCUGGCUACUGGGUGGUCCGAUUCUGAGGUCUCGAAGUUUCUUGCCCACAAAAGCCGAACGGUGAUGCCCCAGACUCGGUUUCUUGGUUCCGUCCCAAAACGCCGAAAGAAAGGCACAAUGGCCUAGAAAGGAACGACCGGACUUAGAACGGGGUCGGAGGCCUCGAAAGUUCACGUCUGGCUACUGGGUGGUCCGAUUCUGAGUCUCGAAGUUUCUUGCCCACAAAAGCCGAACGGUGAUGCCCCAGACUCGGUUUCUUGGUUCCGUCCCAAAACGCGAAAGAAAGGCACAAUGGCCUAGAAAGGAACGACCGGACUUAGAACGGGGUCGGAGGCCUCGAAAGUUCACGUCUGGCUACUGGUGGUCCGAUUCUGAGCGGUCUCGAAGUUUCUUGCCCACAAAAGCCGAACGGUGAUGCCCAGACUCGGUUUCUUGGUUCCGUCCCAAAACGCCGAAAGAAAGGCACAAUGGCCUAGAAAGGAACGACCGGACUUAGAACGGGGUCGGAGGCCUCGAAAGUUCACGUCUGGCUACUGGGUGGUCCGAUUCUGAGUGGUCUCGAAGUUUCUUGCCCACAAAAGCCGAACGGUGAUGCCCCAGACUCGGUUUCUUGGUUCCGUCCCAAAACGCCGAAAGAAAGGCACAAUGGCCUAGAAAGGAACGACCGGACUUAGAACGGGGUCGGAGGCCUCGAAAGUUCACGUCUGGCUACUGGGUGGUCCGAUUCUGAGUGGUCUCGAAGUUUCUUGCCCACAAAAGCCGAACGGUGAUGCCCCAGACUCGGUUUCUUGGUUCCGUCCCAAAACGCCGAAAGAAAGGCACAAUGGCCUAGAAAGGAACGACCGGACUUAGAACGGCGGCCUCGAAAGUUCACGUCUGGCUACUGGGUGGUCCGAUUCUGAGUGGUCUCGAAGUUUCUUGCCCACAAAAGCCGAACGGUGAUGCCCCAGACUCGGUUUCUUGGUUCCGUCCCAAAACGCCGAAAGAAAGGCACAAUGGCCUAGAAAGGAACGACCGGACUUAGAACGGGGUCGGAGGCCUCGAAAGUUCACGUCUAGCUACGGGUGGUCCGAUUCUGAGUGGUCUCGAAGUUUCUUGCCCACAAAAGCCGAACGGUGAUGCCCCAGACUCGGUUUCUUGGUUCCGUCCCAAAACGCCGAAAGAAAGGCACAAUGGCCUAGAAAGGAACGACCGGACUUAGAACGGGGUCGGAGGCCUCGAAAGUUCACGUCUGGCUACUGGGUGGUCCGAUUCUGCGGUCUCGAAGUUUCUUGCCCACAAAAGCCGAACGGUGAUCCCAGACUCGGUUUCUUGGUUCCGUCCCAAAACGCCGAAAGAAAGCACAAUGGCCUAGAAAGGAACGACCGGACUUAGAACGGGGUCGGAGGCCUCGAAAGUUCACGUCUGGCUACUAGGUGGUCCGAUUCUGAGUGGUCUCGAAGUUUCUUGCCCACAAAACCAAACGGUGAUGCCCAGAAUCGGUUUCUUGGUUCCGUCCCAAAACGCCGAAGAAAGGCACAAUGGCCUAGAAAGGAACGACCGGACUUGGAACGGGGUCGGAGGCCUCGAAAGUUCACGUCUGGCUACUGGGUGGUCCGAUUCUGAGUGGUCUCGAAGUUUCUUGCCCACAAAAGCCGAACGGUGAUGCCCAGACUCGGUUUCUUGGUUCCGUCCCAAAACGCCGAAAGAAAGGCACAAUGGCCUAGAAAGGAACGACCGGACUUAGAACGGGGUCGGAGGCCUCGAAAGUUCACGUCUGGCUACUGGGUGGUCCGAUUCUGAGCGGUCUCGAAGUUUCUUGCCCACAAAAGCCGAACGGUGAUGCCCCAGACUCGGUUUCUUGGUUCCGUCCCAAAACGCCGAAAGAAAGGCACAAUGGCCUAGAAAGGAACGACCGGACUUAGAACGGGGUCGGAGGCCUCGAAAGUUCACGUCUGGCUACUGGGUGGUCCGAUUCUGGUCUCGAAGUUUCUUGCCCACAAAAGCCGAACGGUGAUGCCCAGACUCGGUUUCUUGGUUCCGUCCCAAAACGCCGAAAGAAAGGCACAAUGGCCUAGAAAGGAACGACCGACUUAGAACGGGGUCGGAGGCCUCGAAAGUUCACGUCUGGCUACUGGGUGGUCCGAUUCUGAGUGGUCUCGAAGUUUCUUGCCCACAAAAGCCGAACGGUGAUGCCCCAGACUCGGUUUCUUGGUUCCGUCCCAAAACGCCGAAAGAAAGGCACAAUGGCCUAGAAAGGAACGACCGGACUUAGAACGGGGUCGGAGGCCUCGAAAGUUCACGUCUGGCUACUGGGUGGUCCGAUUCUGAGUGGUCUCGAAGUUUCUUGCCCACAAAAGCCGAACGGUGAUGCCCAGACUCGGUUUCUUGGUUCCGUCCCAAAACGCCGAAAGAAAGGCACAAUGGCCUAGAAAGGAACGACCGACUUAGAACGGGGUCGGAGGCCUCGAAAGUUCACGUCUGGCUACUGGGUGGUCCGAUUCUGAGUGGUCUCGAAGUUUCUUGCCCACAAAAGCCGAACGGUGAUGCCCCAGACUCGGUUUCUUGGUUCCGUCCCAAAACGCCGAAAGAAAGGCACAAUGGCCUAGAAAGGAACGACCGGACUUAGAACGGGGUCGGAGGCCUCGAAAGUUCACGUCUGGCUACUGGGUGGUCCGAUUCUGAGUGGUCUCGAAGUUUCUUGCCCACAAAAGCCGAACGGUGAUGCCCAGACUCGGUUUCUUGGUUCCGUCCCAAAACGCCGAAAGAAAGGCACAAUGGCCUAGAAAGGAACGACCGGACUUAGAACGGGGUCGGAGGCCUCGAAAGUUCACGUCUGGCUACUGGUGGUCCGAUUCUGAGUCUCGAAGUUUCUUGCCCACAAAAGCCGAACGGUGAUGCCCAGACUCGGUUUCUUGGUUCCGUCCCAAAACGCCGAAAGAAAGGCACAAUGGCCUAGAAAGGAACGACCGGACUUAGAACGGGGUCGGAGGCCUCGAAAGUUCACGUCUGGCUACUGGGUGGUCCGAUUCUGAGUGGUCUCGAAGUUUCUUGCCCACAAAAGCCGAACGGUGAUGCCCAGACUCGGUUUCUUGGUUCCGUCCCAAAACGCCGAAAGAAAGGCACAAUGGCCUAGAAAGGAACGACCGGACUUAGAACGGUCGGAGAGCCUCGAAAGUUCACGUCUGGCUACUGGGUGGUCCGAUUCUGAGUGGUCUCGAAGUUUCUUGCCCACAAAAGCCGAACGGUGAUGCCCCAGACUCGGUUUCUUGGUUCCGUCCCAAAACGCCGAAAGAAAGGCACAAUGGCCUAGAAAGGAACGACCGGACUUAGAACGGGGUCGGAGGCCUCGAAAGUUCACGUCUGGCUACUGGGUGGUCGAUUCUGAGUGGUCUCGAAGUUUCUUGCCCACAAAAGCCGAACGGUGAUGCCCAGACUCGGUUUCUUGGUUCCGUCCCAAAACGCCGAAAGAAAGGCACAAUGGCCUAGGAAGGAACGACCGGACUUAGAACGGGGUCGGAGGCCUCGAAAGUUCACGUCAGCUACUGGGUGGUCCGAUUCUGAGUGGUCUCGAAGUUUCUUGCCCACAAAAGCCGAACGGUGAUGCCCAGACUCGGUUUCUUGGUUCCGUCCCAAAACGCCGAAAGAAAGGCACUAUGGCCUAGAAAGGAACGAGGAGAGAAGGGUCGGAGGCCUCGAAAGUUCACGUCUGGCUACUGGGUGGUCCGAUUCUGAGUGGUCUCGAAGUUUCUUGCCCAAAAAGCCGAACGGUGAUGCCCAGACUCGGUUUCUUGGUUCCGUCCCAAAACGCCGAAAGAAAGGCACAAUGGCCUAGAAGGAACGACCGGACUUAGAACGGGGUCGGAGGCCUCGAAAGUUCACGUCUGGCUACUGGGUGGUCCGAUUCUGAGGUCUCGAAGUUUCUUGCCCACAAAAGCCGAACGGUGAUGCCCAGACUCGGUUUCUUGGUUCCGUCCCAAAACGCCGAAAGAAAGGCACAAUGGCCUAGAAAGGAACGACCGGACUUAGAACGGGGUCGGAGGCCUCGAAAGUUCACGUCUGGCUACUGGGUGGUCCGAUUCUAGUGGUCUCGAAGUUUCUUGCCCACAAAAGCCGAACGGUGAUGCCCAGACUCGGUUUCUUGGUUCCGUCCCAAAACGCCGAAAGAAAGGCACUGGCCUAGAAAGGAACGACCGGACUUAGAAGGUGAGGCCUCGAAAGUUCACGUCUAGCUACUGGGUGGUCCGAUUCUGAGUGGUCUCGAAGUUUCUUGCCCACAAAAGCCGAACGGUGAUGCCCAGACUCGGUUUCUUGGUUCCGUCCCAAAACGCCGAAAGAAAGGCACAAUGGCCUAGGAAGGAACGACCGGACUUAGAACGGGGUCGGAGGCCUCGAAAGUUCACGUCUGGCUACUGGGUGGUCCGAUUCUCAGCGGUCUCGAAGUUUCUUGCCCACAAAAGCCGAACGGUGAUGCCCUAGACUCGGUUUCUUGGUUCCGUCCCAAAACGCGAAAGAAAGGCACAAUGGCCUAGAAAGGAACGACCGGACUUAGAACGGGGUCGGAGGCCUCGAAAGUUCACGUCUGGCUACUGGGUGGUCCGAUUCUGAGUGGUCUCGAAGUUUCUUGCCCACAAAAGCCGAACGGUGAUGCCCAGACUCGGUUUCUUGGUUCCGUCCCAAAACGCCGAAAGAAAGGCACAAUGGCCUAGAAAGAACGACCGGACUUAGAACGGGGUCGGAGGCUCGAAAGUUCACGUCUGGCUACUGGGUGGUCCGAUUCUGAGUGGUCUCGAAGUUUCUUGCCCACAAAAGCCGAACGGUGAUGCCCCAGACUCGGUUUCUUGGUUCCGUCCCAAAACGCCGAAAGAAAGGCACAAUGGCCUAGAAAGGAACGACCGGAUUAGAACGGGGUCGGAGGCCUCGAAAGUUCACGUCUGGCUACUGGUGGUCGAUUCUGAGUGGUCUCGAAGUUUCUUGCCCACAAAAGCCGAACGGUGAUGCCCAGACUCGGUUUCUUGGUUCCGUCCCAAAACGCCGAAAGAAAGGCACAAUGGCCUAGAAAGGAACGACCGGACUUAGAACGGGGUCGGAGGCCUCGAAAGUUCACGUCUGGCUACUGGGUGGUCCGAUUCUGAGCAGUCUCGAAUCUUCUUGCCCACAAAAGCCGAACGGUGAUGCCCCAGACUCGGUUUCUUGGUUCCGUCCCAAAACGCCGAAAGAAAGGCACAAUGGCCUAGAAAGGAACGACCGGACUUAGAACGGGUCGGAGGCCUCGAAAGUUCACGUCUGGCUACAGGGUGGUCCGAUUCUGAGUGGUCUCGAAGUUUCUUGCCCACAAAAGCCGAACGGUGAUGCCCCAGACUCGGUUUCUUGGUUCCGUCCCAAAACGACGAAAGAAAGGCACAAUGGCCUAGGAAGGAACGACCGAAGUUAGAACGGGGUCGGAGGCCUCGAAAGUUCACGUCUAGCUACUGGGUGGUCCGAUUUUGAGCGGUCUCGAAGUUUCUUGCCCACAAAAGCCGAACGGUGAUGCCCUAGUCUCGAUUUCUUGGUUCCGUCCAAAAACACGGAAAAGAAAGGCACAAUGGCCUAGAAAGGACUAACCGGACUUAGAACGGGGUCGGAGGCCUCGAAAGUUCACGUCCAGCUACUGGGUGGUCCGAUUCUUAGCGGUCUCGAAGUUUCUUGCCCACAGAAGCCGAAUGGUAAUGCCCUAGAUUCUAAUUCUUGGUUACGUCCCAAUACGCCGAAAGAAAGGCACAGUGGUCUAGAAAGGAACUGCCGGACUUAGAACGGGGUCGGAGGCCUCGAAAGUUCACGUCUAGCUAUUGGGUGGUCCGAUUCUUAGCGGUCUCGAAGCUUCUUGCCCACAAAAGUCGAACGGUGAUGCCCCAGACUGAUAGAACUAAGUCAUGCACAGCGGAAAAAGAAUCGAAUUUCUACUCUAAUUGCCACAAUUAUCAUAUAACCAUAAACUAAUCAAAUUAGGGUUUUAAGAAAUAUUACCUUUGAAGCUUUCAAAAGGUUUGAUAUCUUCUUACCAAUUCUAACCGAGACCACCACUAGUACUCAACUGCUAUCCUCUAGACAAAGAACCGGGUUGUGGGACCCAAUUUUGGUGUAGAAAGUAACGGAGAUAAAAUGAGAUUGGAAGCUUUCUUUUUUCUUUUGUCGAGAUGAUGAAAAUGAUAAAAGAGGCAAAAGUUCUUCAACAUUUGAAAACACCACUAUUUAUAACCUAAUUACAUGAAAAAAUGCAUGCAAUUCAUUUGCCAAAUCUCAACACCUAAUGUUCCACUAACAAUUAGUGGAACUUAGUGGGCUAGGUGUCUAUAUCUCAUAUAGCCACAUAUCCCACUAAGAGUUAGUGGGAUUAUCCAACAAAAUGUUGGAUUUUCCCACUAACUUAGUCCAAGGGUAAAAUGGUCAUUAGAUAUUUCUAGUCAAAAGUCAAACUUUGACUUUUCUUAGUCAAAAGUCAAUAUUUUGACUUUUUACCAUUUUGUCCGUCUUGACUAAUUCCAACCUCCCGAGCAUGAAUCCGCAUUCAUUUUUCCAAAAUUCAAAUCACAUUUGAAUAUAAGGCCGGUCAAAGUUUGACUUUGAAAAGUCAAAAAGUCAACAUUUUGACUUUUUACUAUUUUUGACCAAUUCCGAGCUUCUUAGUAUGAAUCCGCAUUCAUACUUAUAGUAUGUAAAACAUAAAGCUCUAUUUCUAAUUAGAAGACCGCCGACUAUAUCACUAUAUUUGUCGUUUCCCUUUCUUCUCCCAAUUCGAACAAUUCGACUUAUUUCAUCACACUGUUCUAAGUUUAAUCCAUAUGAGCUAGCAGAGGAACCUAAUGGACCUAUAGAUCAUGGGCUCCAACGAUUCAAGAUUAACUAGCUAAACUCUUUUAAACCUAGUUAAUCAACAUUCGUUAACUAACAGGUCAUUCCACUAAAGUCCCGUAGUUGCACUCCCCUCACUAUAGAUAUAUUUGUCCAUUUGAUAAAACCAUAAUCAGUAAGUUAAUCCUUCACAGGUUGCUCGUAACCUUGGCUGGGUCAAAAUACCAUUUUACCCCCAAGAUUACAUCUUGCUCCUUAAGUCCCACUAAUCCACUAUUGAACAAUUGGUUUAAGGUUCAACCUAUAAACUUAAUCUCUCUCGGGCCAAUGAGAGGGUGGGGCCCCUUGUUCUAGACUUGGAUUCAGUGCUUAAGAGAGCAACCUAUCUACUAACCCUAAAGCAGGUAGGAGUGAAUUCCAUCUUGUACCCUAUGUUCCCAGCUAUCCACCCGAUCUUACCCCUGAAAUGGGAGGCUUAUUGGGCCAACGCUGAUGAGCUGCCCUCACCUAUGCAGAUCUAAGGAUAAUCUCGUGUGAACAGGAGUUCAUAGUUAACUCAGGAUUAAGACUAAGUUACCUAGGUCAUCAAUAAUUGAGAUAGUCAGUUUUAAACAGUAAACGGUGUUAUAACGUAAAAAUGACUAAUUCAUGGUUCAGUCUUAUGUAAACAUUUUACAUAGGAUGCCCCCACUUUCAUGUCUCUACAUGAACGAUUAGGAUCACCUCGUUUGUACUAAAAAGUGGGCCGCAUCCAUAGUUUCUCUAAAUAAGGCGCCCAACCUUUAUUUCAUAUACUAUAGACUAUUUAGGCUAUAUACUCGAACUUGAUCCACGUUUAUGUUUACACAUAAAGUUCAAGUUUAUUCAAAAAAAUAGCCUUGGAACUUGAUUUAUUGGAUUUAAGAUUAUAAUAUUUAAUUUCUCAAUAACAAAUUUAUUGAACAGAAUAUGAUUUACAAACUACGAGUUUUAGGACAAAAAAUUCCAACAAGGUCUAGUACAUAACAUUGCAUACAUUAAACUUCCAACAGCGGAAGCAUAGGGAAUAUUUCUCAUAUCCUCAACUUCUUGAGGUGUCUUAGGACAUUGUUCCUUUGACAAAUGAAUUCCAUAUCUGUACGGCAGCAGACCCUUUUUGGAAUUCUGCAUUUUAUAUCUAGACAACAUUUUGUCUAUGUAAGAUGCUUGAGACAUGGCUAGUGUUUUGUUCUUACGGUUUCGAACAAUUUGGAUUCCGAGAACGUAUUGUGCAUCUCCCAGAUCUUUCAUUUGAAAUUGCAUAGCUAGCCAUUUCUUGAUAUCAGUAAGAUAUCCUACGUCAUUUCCAAUAAGUAGAAUAUCAUCUACAUAUAAGACUAAAAAUGCUAUAAUGGAAUUGACGACCUUUUUGUAAACACAAGGCUCGUCAACAUUUUGUUCAAAGCCAUAAGAUUUGAUCGCAGUAUCAAAUCUUAUAUUCCAGGAUCUAGAAGCUUGUUUUAAUCCAUAAAUGGAUUUUUUAAGCUUACAAACCUUUUGUUCUUGAUCUUGUUCUAUAAACCCCUCUGGUUGAGACAUAUAGAUACUCUCUUCAAGAUUACCGUUCAAAAAAGCUGUCUUGACAUCCAUCUGCCAAAUUUCAUAAUCAUAAAAAGUGGCGAUGGAUAAGAGUAUUCUAAUUGACUUUAACAUGGCAACGGAGAGAAAGUUUCCUCAUAGUCUACUCCCUCUCUCUGGUAUAACCCUUUGCCACAAGUCGAGCCUUAAAAGUCUGUACUUUACCGGCAUGGUCUCGUUUUCUCUUGUAGAUCCAUUUACAACCAAUAGGUUUUACGUCAUUUGGUUGAUCUACUAGAGUCCAGACAGAAUUAAAGUACAUAGACUCCAUUUCGAGGUCCAUGGCUUUGAUCCAUUGGUCACGAUCUACAUCUUUCAUUGCCUGUUUAUAGGUUAAUGGAUCCUCUAUGCCAUCGUCAGGUAUGACGACUUGAGUUUCAAUUAAACCCAAAUAGCGAUCAGGCUGAUGAACAACCCUCCCACUACGUCGAGGCUCUCUCAACUGUUGAGAAGGAUGUGAUUGACCAGAUUUCCUAGUCUUAUCAACUACCUUAGUGGAUGAACUAGGUUUAUCUAUAGCACUUUUGGAAAUUUCUUUUAAUACUAGUUUACUACGAGGUUGAUGAUCCCUGAUGUGGUCUUCCUCUAAGAAUGUGGCAUUUGUUGACACAAAUAUUUUAUUUUCUUGAGGAUCAUAAAACAAACCACCUCUUGAUUCUUUUGGAUAACCUAUGAAAAAGCAUAAUUUUGAACGAUGUUCCAAUUUCUUAGGAUUUUGUACCAACACGUGUGCUGGACAACCCCAAAUUCUAAAAUGACGUAAACUUCCUUUACGCCCUUUCCAUAGCUCAUAAGGUGUUUCUGAAACACUUUUAGAGGGAACAUUAUUCAAAAUAUAAGCAGCUGUUUCUAAAGCAUAUCCCAAAAAGAAUCUGACAUCUGAGAAAAACUCAUCAUAGAGCGAACCAUGUCUAACAAGGUCCGGUUUCUUCUUUCUGAUACACCGUUCUGUUGAGGUGUACUAGGUGCAGAGAGUUGUGACUGGAUUCCAUUUUCUAUUAAAUAGUCUCGGAAUCGUAAGUCCAUAUACUCUCCACCUCGAUCUGAUCGAAGUAUUUUUAUUGUUUUACCUAAUUCGUUUUCUACUUCAGCCUUAUAUUCUUUGAACUUUUCAAGACUAUUAGACUUAUGAUGUAUUAGGUAAAUAUGACCAUACCUUGAAUAAUCAUCAAUGAAGCUAAUGAAAUAUUCAUAUCCACCUCGAGCUUUGACAUUCAUUGGUCCACAAAGGUCCGAAUGUACGAGCUCUAAGGGUCCUUUGGCUCUUAGACCUUUUCCAGUAAAAGAUCUCUUGGUCAUUUUUCCUUCAAGACAAGAUUCACAAGGAGGUAAAGUAUUAUUUCUAACGACUUAGAAGCCCACUUUUAACUAAUCUCCCAAUCCUAUUGAGAUUUAUGUGACCAAGUCUUAAGUGCCAUAAAUAGGCAUUAGAAGAAACUUUUUGUCUUUUAUUCUGAGUUUCAGCUGUUCUGAAUAUUUCAGUAUUUAAGACAAAAUUUGCUCUGGUUGGUCUUAACUUAUAUAAGUUGUCUUCAAGUAUAGCAGAACAAACUAGAAUACCUUUAUAGAAAACGAACGCUUCAUUAAUUUCAAAAGAUAUUCUAUACAUUUGUUCCAAAAUACAAGAGAUAGAUAUUAAAUUUCUUUUCAUUUGAGGUACAUAUAAGACAUUCUUAAGUAUGACAUAUCUAUCUCUAAAAAACAACUUUAAAUCUCCCACUGCUGAAGUGAGACCAUCUCUCCUGUUCCAACCUUGAGAGUGAUCUCGCCUUCUGAAAGCUUUUUCAAGAACUAUUUUCCUGAAAUGAGAAGCAAAUAUGGUUAGUGGCUCCUGAAUCUAGUAUCCAGGUACAAUUUUCAUAUUCCACUAAACAUGUUUCUACAACUAGUAAAUCAUAUUUACCUUGUGUUUCCUUCUCUGCCUUUUUUUCUGCAAGGUAUUUUGGGCAGUUUCUUAACCAGUGCCCGUUUUGGCCACAAUGGUAACACUUACCUUUUUCUGCACCUUUCUUACCCUUGUUCUGUUUGGGAGUCUUUCCCUUUCCCUUCUUUUUUAUUUGAGCAUUAGGUUUUGAGGGUCCAGCUUUGGUUUUAGAGGACGAUCCUCUUAUAAAUUUUCUUUUUGUGGUAGCAACAUUUGCUUCCACUUGUUUUCCUUUACCCAUAGUAAGGUUUUGGAAUCGCUGGAGUUCAUUCAGAAGGGUUGUCAAGUUAAAUUCUAUCUUGUUCAAAGACGCAUUCGUUUGGAAUGGAAUGAAGCUCUUCGGAAGAGACUCUAAGAUAAAACUAACUUGAUUAACCUCUUCGAUGGGACCACCAUUCACUUCAGCGAUGUUGAAGUGCAUCAUCAUGUCCAGAACAUGUUCUCUAACAGAGGUCCCUUCCUUCAUACGCUUAGUGUAAAUGUAUUUGACUGCCUCGUGUCUUAAGGACAUUCUGGUUGCCCAAACAUUCCCCUUAAUGAAUCCAUAAUCUCUUUAGCCGUGGCUAAGGAUUCAUGUUUCUUUGCCAAUACAUCAGACAUGCUGGCAAGAAUGUAGACACGGCUUUUUCAUUAGCUUUUAUCCAUCGAUCAUAUGCAUCCCGACUAGUUCGGUUAGCAUUAGAGGCAGGGUUUUGAGGACAUUCCUCAGUUAAGACAAAUCUUAAAUCGUCAACCACUAGUAUUGUGUUAAGAUUUGAUUUCCAAGCCGCAUAAUUAUCGCCAUUAAGUUUUUCGGAAGCUAAAAGUUGAACUAUUGAGCUAUUCAUGCUGAAAAACAAACAUAUUCUUUUUAGGAAAAAACUAUAAUCAUAAAAAAUAUCCAAUCUAAUUUAGCAAUUACUAAUAAUGUACCCUUUCAUUAUUUGUAUUUUGCAACAAUAUUUCAAAGGUUUAGAACAACCUUCUCCGAAGGGUAGUUGAUUAUUCCUCCUUUGAACCAAGACAAUCUUGACUAGAUGCUAUCUCUAGAAUAACUGCUUAUUCUUUAUAGCACUUAGUUAUCGCUACUUUAGUCAAGAAUAUACUAACAACUUAGUAAUUCUUGUAAGUGUUACCCACCAUUUUCAGAUUUCAUAGAUUAGAAUCAUUUAUGAAAACUAAUCUAAGAAAACCUAUCCAGAUUUGGAGUUCGCGGUGUUCCGAAUCCUAUAAUACAACCCUCCGAAGGGAACGUCGCUCCAGGGCAGACAAGCAGGCAUAUUAUAGAAAUCUCACGGUGCGACCUAAUGGAAGAGACCGUGGAUGUGCUGCCACAAAUCCCUCACCCACUUACUAUGAACUACUUCCCCUAUUCACCUUGAUUUUGAUCCAUGCAAACACUCUCCGAAGGGAGGCCGCUCCUAUGCACGGCACAAAGCCCUGCAUGGACCUCACGGUGUGAACUCUUAGGGACACUAGAGCUAAAAUACAUUAUUUUUCUCUAGUUGAAGUGUUCUAAAAGAAGAAAAAAAAUAGGGUAAUCCAAGCUUCAAGAUUUAUAUUUAGGCUAACUUAAACAAAUCUUUAAGUCUAGAUAAAACAUCCAAGUAUAACCAUUAUACAGGAUUUUAACCUAUGAUGUCUAGGUGUAAACCAUUUUUAUUACCUCACACCUCUCACGAAUGCUCAUAAAACUAGGUUAACUAGGCUCAAGAACUGAUUACGAUCUCCAGGUAGGAGGUGUUCCGUAAACCGUCAACUUAAGAACCUCCAACCUUAGUCAUCUUAUCUGACUUGUUGACAAGAUUGAACCAGGUGAGCCUUUUGUAACCAGUUUUACAAGAUAUCGACCUAUUUCUAUGAAAAAUGGAAGAUAUGUUUAACCUAAGUGAGCAUGCAUUUAAUCUUUGUUAUUGAUUUUAAAAGUCUAAUUUAUUUUAUAACACUUAUAAAAACUUUUAACUUAAUCAAUCAUUUUAUCAAUAUAUAACCUUAUAAAAACAAUCAAUUAAUAUGGAUUUUAAUUUAUUUAACUUUAAUUAAAUCAUAUUUAAUUUUUAAUUUAAUUAAAUCAUAUUUAAUUAAAUUAAAUCAAACAAUAAUUAAUUAAUUUGAUUAAAUCAUAUUUAAUCAAGAAUAACUUAAUUAAUUAAAUAAUUAAUUAAUCAUAUUAAUUAAUUUCCAUAUUAAUCAAUCAUAUUAAUUAAUUUCCAUAUUAAUCAAUUAACAUGCAUACAAUACAAUAUAACCUUUAUAUCAUACAUUUUAAUGCAUGAACAUGUUAACCUAUGGUGGAUUUUAAAUCUAUAUGACAUUCAAAUGCACAUACAAAUUUAAAGUAAUUUAAUCAUACAUCACAUGCAUAAAUAAAAAAACACCCUAAAAUGGACUGAUUUUUGGCUCCUAAAUUAAGCUAAGUACUAAAUUAUUACAUAAUUAAUUUGGUGUAGUACAGAACCACUCCAAAACAUCGAACCUGCCCAAAAACCAAAUUUAUUGGCUUGAACCGGGCCAAUUAACUAAACAGGCCCAGGCGCACACAGGUCAGGCGCAGGUGGGCGCGCGGGCACGCGGGCGCAGGCGGGUCGCGAAGCGGGUCAAGGCCGGGUUUUCGGUCUGUGACCUUCUUUUCUUCAUUUUUUUCAAUUCUCUCACCCGGUUGAACCAAUUACAGCCUAACUUCAACUCUAAUGAUUUUUUUUAUUUUAAAAAAAAUUACAAAACACUUUGCAACAAUAAAAAUAAGCCAUUAACAAGGCUAAUUACAAUAAUUAAACAAAAACACUUAACCUAGAGCCAAAAUCAUAAUAUAUCCAUUUUAGUUCAAACCAAAAUUUAUCUAAUAAAUAUGAACCCACCACAUGCAAUUGGGUAAAAAUGAAGCAUGCUCUGAUACCACAUGAUAGAACUAAGUCAUGCACAGCGGAAAAAGAAUCGAAUUUCUACCCUAAUUGCCACAAUUAACAUGUAACCAUAAAUUAAUCAAAUUAGGGUUUUAGGAAAUAUUACCUUUGAAGCUUUCAAAAGGUUUGAUAUCUUCUUACCAAUUCUAACCGAGACCACCACUAGUACUCAACUGCUAUCCUCUUGACAAAGAACCGGGUUGUGGGACCCAAUUUUGGUGUAGAAAGUAAUGGAGAUAAAAUGGGAUUGGAAUGUUUCUUUUUUUUCUUUUGUUGAGAUGAUGAAAAUGAUAAAAGAGGCAAAAGUUCUUCAACAUUUGAAAACACCUCUAUUUAUAACCUAAUUACAUGCAAAAAUGCAUGCAAUUCAUUUGCCAAAUCUCAACACCUAAUGUUCCACUAACAAUUAGUGGAACUUAGUGGGCUAGGUGUCUAUCUCAUAUAGCCACAUAUCCCACUAAGAGUUAGUGGGAUUAUCCAACAAAAUGUUG